UACCAGCACCCCGAGUGGUCGGGACGAUUAUUGGGCCUAAAGCAUCCGUAGCCGGUCAUGCAAGUCUUCCGUUAAAUCCAGCCGCUCAACGGUUGGGCUGCGGAGGAUACUACGUGGCUAGGAGGCGGGAGAGGCAAGCGGUACUCAGUGGGUAGGGGUAAAAUCCUUUGAUCCAUUGAAGACCACCAGUGGCGAAGGCGGCUUGCCAGAACGCGCUCGACGGUGAGGGAUGAAAGCGUGGGGAGCAAACAGG
rnacentral:rRNA from 1 species